rnacentral:rRNA from 1 species
GAACGCUGGCGGCGUGCUUAACACAUGCAAGUCGAACGGUGAAGCGCCUUCCUUUUUGGUGGGUGUGGAUGAGUGGCGAACGGGUGAGUAACACGUGAGUAACCUGCCCCCUUCUUCUGGAUAACCGCAUGAAAGUGUGGCUAAUACGGGAUAUUCUGGGUCUGUCGCAUGAUGGGUCUGGGAAAGAUAUUGUUUCGGUGGGGGAUGGGCUCGCGGCCUAUCAGCUUGUUGGUGGGGUGAUGGCCUACCAAGGCGGUGACGGGUAGCCGGCCUGAGAGGGUGGACGGUCACACUGGGACUGAGACACGGCCCAGACUCCUACGGGAGGCAGCAGUGGGGAAUAUUGCACAAUGGGCGCAAGCCUGAUGCAGCGACGCCGCGUGAGGGAUGGAGGCCUUCGGGUUGUGAACCUCUUUCGCCAGUGAAGCAGGCCUGCCUCGUUUGUGGGUGGGUUGACGGUAGCUGGAUAAGAAGCGCCGGCUAACUACGUG